rnacentral:rRNA from 1 species
CCUACGGGAGGCUGCAGUGAGGAAUAUUGGUCAAUGGGCGCGAGCCUGAACCAGCCAAGUAGCGUGAAGGAUGACGGCCCUACGGGUUGUAAACCUCUUUUAUAAAGGAAUAAAGUGAGGCACGUGUGCCGUUUUGUAUGUACCCUAUGAAUAAGGAUCGGCUAACUCCGUGCCAGCAGCCGCGGUAAUACGGAGGAUCCGAGCGUUAUCCGGAUUUAUUGGGUUUAAAGGGAGCGUAGGUGGGUUGUUAAGUCAGUGGUUAAAGUUUGCGGCUCAACCGUAAAAUGGCCAUUGAUACUGGCAGCCUUGAGUGCAGUUGAGGUAGGCGGAAUUCGUGGUGUAGCGGUGAAAUGCUUAGAUAUCACGCAGAACUCCGAUUGCGAAGGCAGCUUACUAGACUGCAACUGACAUUGAUGCUCGAAAGUGUGGGUAUCAAACAGGAUUAGAUACCCCAGUAGUC